rnacentral:rRNA from 1 species
CCUACGGGGGGCAGCAGUGAGGAAUAUUGGUCAAUGGCCGCAGGGCUGAACCAGCCAAGUCGCGUGAGGGAUGACGGUCCUAUGGAUUGUAAACCUCUUUUGUCAGGGAGCAAAGAGCGCCACGUGUGGCGCUUUGCGAGUACCUGAAGAAAAAGCAUCGGCUAACUCCGUGCCAGCAGCCGCGGUAAUACGGAGGAUGCGAGCGUUAUCCGGAUUUAUUGGGUUUAAAGGGUGCGCAGGCGGAAUGUCAAGUCAGCGGUAAAAUUUCGGGGCUCAACCCCGUCGUGCCGUUGAAACUGGCGUUCUUGAGUGAGCGAGAAGUAUGCGGAAGGCGUGGUGUAGCGGUGAAAUGCAUAGAUAUCACGCAGAACUCCGAUUGCGAAGGCAGCAUACCGGCGCUCAACUGACGCUCAUGCACGAAAGCGUGGGUAUCGAACAGGAUUAGAUACCCCUGUAGUC